AUAAACUCUGCCUCAUCACUUGCCUUUGGUUGACCUAAAGAGCACUCUUUCUGUUGGGCAUAUUACUGAAGUGAUUAAGGCUGAUUUAACACCGUUCUGAAACAAUGGCAAUGUUAAAGGCUUGAGACCAGGGUGCGAAAGGAGGGUGAUGGAAACCUUAAGAAAUGAGUCCCAGUGCCAUAACUGGUGGAUGAUCCCUUGAAGAGGAAGGAGAAACCACAGGUCCUUCUCACUCACCGUGGACUGCUCACCAAGCACAAUACCACUCCUGUGGUCUCAACAGUGACAUUCAGCAGCAGCAGAGGCAGCAGCAGCAGCAGCAGCAGAGGCAGCAGCAGCAGAGGCAGCAGCAGCAGCAGCAGCAGGAAAUAUUAGCUUUACCGUGAGUCCACACUAGGAAAUUCUUCUCCGCAAUGGAUUAACUACAGACAUGUGAAGUCUUACUGUUUAAAAAUUUUUGAAUUAUUUUUGUUUAAAAAUGUCAAUGGGUACGAUAUGAAAAGUACAUUUUUUUCUCCUUGUAACUUCAAAACAACUGAACAGAACCUUUGGACAGAACCCAAGAAUUGAAUGUUUUAGCUUUAAGAGUUUCAUCACUGAAAGUAAUGAAUGAGUUUCUUUGCAAAAUUAACUAUUUCAAGCUUCAAUUGUGUGACUUCCAGCAUUCCUCGAUAAUAAAACUAAUGGUUUGAGAAGAAA